AUUGAACGCUGGCGGAAUGCUUUACACAUGCAAGUCGAACGGCAGCACGGAGAGCUUGCUCUCUGGUGGCGAGUGGCGAACGGGUGAGUAAUAUAUCGGAACGCGUCCAAUAAUGGGGGAUAACGAGUCGAAAGAUUCGCUAAUACCGCAUACGCCCUACGGGGGAAAGCAGGGGAUCGUAAGACCUUGCGUUAAUGGAGCGGCCGAGAUCUGAUUAGCUAGUUGGGGAGGUAAAGGCUCACCAAGGCGACGAUCAGUAGCUGGUUUGAGAGAACGACCAGACACACUGGAACUGAGACACGGUCCAGACUCCUACGGGAGGCAGCAGUGGGGAAUUUUGGACCAUGGGGGCAACCCUGAUCCAGCCAUUCCGCGUGAGUGAAGAAGGCCUUCGGGUUGUAAAGCUCUUUCGCAAGGGAAGAAAACUUAUGAUCGAAUAAAUCAUGAGGUUGACGGUACCUUGAUAAGAAGCACCGGCUAACUACGUGCCAGCCGCCGCCGUAA
rnacentral:rRNA from 1 species